rnacentral:rRNA from 1 species
UACGUAGGGUGCAAGCGUUGUCCGGAAUUAUUGGGCGUAAAGAGCUCGUAGGCGGUUUGUCGCGUCUGCUGUGAAAACCCGAGGCUCAACCUCGGGCCUGCAGUGGGUACGGGCAGACUAGAGUGCGGUAGGGGAGAUUGGAAUUCCUGGUGUAGCGGUGGAAUGCGCAGAUAUCAGGAGGAACACCGAUGGCGAAGGCGGCGAUCUGGACGAUGACUGACGCUGAGGCACGAAAGCGUGGGGAGCAAACAGG